AAAAAAGGGAACUUGGUUUCAUCUUCUUCCCCUCUCCCACACAGCCGCCGCCCCCUUGCUCAGUCUCGUCCGCCGGCGACUGCGCAGCAAACCCACAAGCAGCGGCGGUGACCAUAGACUCCGGCGAACUGUCUUUGUGCAUCAGACGUAGCGCUCUUGCGCGUUCCGUUGCUCGACGAUCGACGGCGGUGGUAGGAAGCCCACACAUCUAGCUUGCGACGCGGGCACCCACUUCAGACGCCCUUGCUCAGACCUUCGAAACAACGUGUCUUUCCGUUUCGACGGGUUUCGGCGCUGACCCACACCCCGAUUGGUCUCAAAUCAG
rnacentral:misc_RNA from 1 species